AGUGUUUUGAGCUCAGGAAAUUCCAAAAGUCAGUGGAGCAGAUUAGAAGGAAAGUUCUAGAAAUGAAAUGACAUUGGAGUUCCUAAAAGAAAAGAGAAAGAUCAAAUUAUAGGGCUUGCACUGAGUUUCAAAGAGGAUUGGCAAGAUGGGUUGUAGAAUUAAAUGACAGGCAGAGUGUGUAUGUGGAGAAGGGUUGGUGUAAAUGUAUGUGUGUUGGUGUGUGUGUACACAUGCAUGAGAGAGAGAGGAGGGAAGCAACAGAGGGCUAUUGAUGCAAACCUAUAGCCUAAUUAAUUAUCCACGACAGAAAAAGAAAUUCCUCCUACCCUUGCAAGUUGUCUUGUCUUCCUCUGAAUACAAAGUGUAUACCAACAGAAUCUACCAGCCAACCAGAACAGGACUUGCUUUAUAGCUGAGCAUGUGGUUGAUCUUGGAGUAUGUUCUGUAUGCAGAAGAGAAGAAUGUAUACCCUGUGGUUGAAAUUACCCUUGUUUGGAGAACUUCAAAAAAUUAUCAGAUGAGAACUCACAGAAGUUCCCACAAUAGGGCAUCUGCAGGCUGAGGAGGAAGGAGAGCCAGUCCGAGUUGCAGAACUGAAGAACUUGGAGUCCAAUGUUCAAGAGCAGCAAGCAUCCAGCACAGGAGAAAGAUGUAAGCUGGGAGGCUAGGCCAGUUUCUCUUUUCAUAUUUUUCUGCCUGCUUAUGUUCUACCAUGCUGGCAGCUAACUAGAAUUGUGCCCACCCAGAUUAAGGGUGGGUCUGCCUUUGACUCAAACGUUAAUCUCAUUUGGCAACACCCUCACAGACACGCCCACGAUCAAUACUUUGUAUCCUUCAAUCCAAUCAAGUUGACACUCAGUUUUAACAAUCAAAAGUCCAUUCUUGUCAACUUGAACCCAUACACAUUUUCUGAGAUCAUACGUAAUUUUCAAAUAAAGACAAUAAUAAGGUCAUAAUUAUGCCUAACAUAAUACAACUGUCCUAUGUACAACUGGAAAUGCACCAAUCCCCAACCUAGUAACUAUUACAUAAAUUUAACAAUACUUGAAUUGCAGUCAAUAAAUCUUAUGUCAUAUUAUAAAGGAAAAAGGAAAUAAAGUGAAGAUAUGUUCUUACUACAAAUGUAUACAUGCACAAACACGUUUUUAACAAAAGAAGGAGGGAAUACUUAUGACAAUUACAGUCCUCAUUUCUGCAGCUGGUCACAUGGUCAUAGUUGGUAUUGAUGACUAUCUUCUUCUACUACCCAUUCUGUAUUCCCUUUGCCUUCAGCAAGCACCUCAGCAGCUCAUGGUUUUUUUUCCAAGUGGAGUGACCAAAACCUUCAUUCCUGUAGGGUCUGGGUCAUUUGUAGUCCUGCCUGGAUUGGGCUGUUGUAGUUUCCCAUUGACCUUAAUCACAGGGCAUGGUAAUACUAAGAGAUGCCCUAAUGGAUCUCCUGUACUCCAUGAAUACUCUUUCUUACCUCCAUUAUGGAGUAGUAGACUGAUUUCAUCUUGAUAGUCUGGGUCAGUCACCCCAGCCAACACUGUAACUCCCUUCUUAGCCUGUUGACUUAAAGCUAGGAGGAACCCAAAGUGUCCAGGUGGCAAUCUUAACUUCCAGUUUAAUGGAAUAAUUGUUGUGAUUCCUGGUAGCAGCGUUCCUCCCUCUGGAACUAAGACCUCUAG
rnacentral:lncRNA from 1 species